CGUUCGUACAUGGACCUUAGUUUGCAGUUUCUAUCAGUUGUCAGAAAAAAUUUUUAUUAUAAUUAAUUUUAACUUUAAAAUAUUGCUUCCAAUAUUAUUGAAAACCGUGAGUUAUUGUGCUGUUUGGCUUAUUGUUCUGGAAUUCUAUACUACACUAGGUGAUGAACUACUGGAAUUGGAACCCAUCAAGUUGGAUGAAGAGUUGUACGGGUAGUUUUUAGUUUUACUUUGGAAAAUAAGACUAAAUAAAACGGAAAAUCUCUUUAGUGUCAUCCCACCAUGCAGCGCUCAAGAUUGAUUAUGAUAAUCAUAUUCACGGUUAUUUCUUGGGGCGGAGCCAUAGCUAUGGGCUCUUACCUCGCAUACCACACUCGCACACAUUACUGGACAGUAACUCUAACGUUCUGGGCUGUCGUCCUGGCAGCCGCUCCAUUCAUUUUAAUGUUGAUGAACAUGAAGCUCGUAAAUCAAAUCCAAGCUAAAAUAAAAAGAGCUUUCCAUGAGCGUUGGAUGCGAUCACAAAAGCUUAAACGAAUGCCUAAUGAGCAGCAGCCGACAUCGGAUGGAACGCAAAACGGGAUCCAAGGAAGAGAUCCCACGUUCAGCGAAGCGUCCACAACUUCUUUGCUUGGAGUUCCAUCACCAUCUUACGGUUCCAUCAUGCAAGGGCAACCCGCUCUUCACCAACCAAUUGGCUCAACGCCUGCGAGAACUACUGGAGAGCAUUCAACUUAUUUACUUUACGAGGACAGAACUCCAGUAGUGGCGUCUCAGGUUAAUGCUAAAUCUGGACAUCGUAAAUUUUCUUCAAACUCCCCUUUGGUUCCCAGUUUCCAGAAUAGGCAGCGACCUGGAGCGCUCGUUUCUACUAGACUUACAAGCUCAUCGUCAGUGAGCCUACCUGUAUCUGUUCAUAAAAAUGAGGCAAAGAAUACAAAGUGCACAUUGAACUCAUUCAGCCCGACUCGCGCCCGGAAAAAUUCACGUAUUUUAGCUUCUAUUCCUGAAGUAUCGUAUGAAGGUGAAAAUGAGUGGCAAGAUCGAUUUAAAGAAACAGAGGAGUUGGCUGAAAGUACCUCUCAUCAAGUAGCAUUCAACGACAACAGUUGAAGCAGCGAUACGUCGGGAACAAAACUGACUUAUAUAUUGCUCGAGAGAGAGGCAAAGACUGCUGGUUUAGAGUAGUUUAUCCAGUACACGAAAAAACUUGCUGGUACGUUAUGAUAUUAGAUUGCUUGAACUUAUUCAGCGGUCAUUAAUAACAGCACCUAGCUUCGUUAAUGGCAGCAGCUUUACAUACGAAUGCACCUUGCUUUGUGGUGCUUAUUAUAAAGGCGUUUCACUUUCGAAGCUGAAAUCUUUUUCAAUGAAAGUCUAUUAAGUGCACAAUUUUAGAGUAAAUAAAUGUUUUGAGAAUUUUUAUGGAGUUGUUCAAAAUCUUAAGAGAUAUAAAUCGAUUAAAUGCUUUAAAAACUCUAACUUUCGAGUAAUCAUUUUCGUCGAUAGCUAUGCCUCCUUUUAGCUUUCGUAUCACGUUGUUUUAAUGCUUAACAUGAAGUGCAUUUGUUGGUAACUUAACACUGUUGACGGAUUUUCCAAAUGAUAGUUCUGCGUAUUUAUCUGCCCCUAUUUAUGCACGACGGUUGUAUACCUAAAAAGCGACCACAUUAGUCAAGCGUUAGAAUUAAUUUGAAUUGAGCUGAACGAUUGUUGAUUUUUCAUG